AAGUCGUAACAAGGUUUCCGUAGGUGAACCUGCGGAAGGAUCAUUACCAAAUCCAAAACUUUAUCAACACCAAACAAGUGAACUGAGAAUGGUUUCGUUCCCCUCUGCAUGUGCAUACAAUGUGUUUCCACAUUCGUGCGUGUGCGAAGGGGGAUGUUUUUUUUCAACCCCUUUUCAACCUCUUACAAUCUUUUAUGCUGAAAGCAAAAAAAAACGAAACAUGAGACAACUUUUAACGGUGGAUCUCUUGGCUCGU
rnacentral:misc_RNA from 1 species